UACGGAGGGUGCAAGCGUUAUCCGGAUUCACUGGGUUUAAAGGGUGCGUAGGUGGGUUGAUAAGUCAGUGGUGAAAUCCCCGAGCUUAACUCGGAAACUGCCUUUGAUACUCUCUGUCUUGAAUAUGGUGGAGGUAAGCGGAAUAUGUCAUGUAGCGGUGAAAUGCUUAGAGAUGACAUAGAACACCUAUUGCGAAGGCAGCUUACUACGCUUAUAUUGACGCUGAGGCACGAAAGCGUGGGGAUCAAACAGG
rnacentral:rRNA from 1 species